UGCCAAUAUUGCGAUACAGAGAAAGAGAAAGGGAAAAAGGGGAAAAACCUACUCUUUGCACAUCAGUCUUUUUAACUUUUUUUCUCUCUAAAAAAAACCCUAGCCAUACUACGAUAGAGGCGAUCUUUUCACAUCAAACUCCGCUACGAGAAAAGAAAAAAGAAGAAAGACUUGCGCCACAGUGGAGAUUCGAUUGAUCAUCACUAUCCCCUUUUGAGUUUUCCAGACUCUGCGAACCAGUGGAUAUUCAUACGGCCGGCCACUGCCAUACCCUGCCGGACUUAGAGCAUCACAAUCGGCAUCCGUCAAAGCUAAAUACGAUCAAACGCCUCAUAGGUUUUGAGAUACGGAGUUAGAGAUUGGCGAUAUUCUGACGAAAGAUCUAUCAUCUCUGCUCGGGCUUAUAAGACAGUUGGUAUCUAUUCAAGAAGAGCUACUUGAUUAAAUAUAAAGGUCAGGCCAGCCUAAUUUUCCUUUGUUGCUUUUUUUUUAAUUUGUAUCUCUUUAUCAUUUGUUAAUGUUUGAUUAAAAAAAACUUUAAACAAAAACAGUUUAAAAAAAGAUGGGUUUUAGUAUUUUUCUUUGAAUUCUUUGGUCUCAAAAUAUCAUCAUUACUUUUUUUUUUUUUUUUUUUAAUAGCACUGGGAGUAUCGCCCUAUUGAAAAUAGAUGUGUUUAGGAAAGGCCUAGGAGAAAAUAGAACUAUGACAAAUUUAGAAAAUACAGCUACUGAUUGGAUAAUCAAGUUUCAAGAAAGAAUAAUAUCAUCAAAAGAAUUUAGUGUAAAGUGUGUGCUCAAUACUUGAUAUAUUCUUUUUGUUAACAUUUAAAGUUAUGUUUGGGUGUGCUUUUGUUUUAAAUGCUUAGCAGAGAUUGAUGGGGUAGAUGGCAAUGGCAAGGCCAACAUUAGAUUUUUUUUUGAAUCGUUUUAACCUUUAUUCAGUUUUAAAAUCAAUUUGACUUCUAAAGUAAAUUUGUAAAGUCAAUUCAACAUUAGAUAUUUGGCUUUUAGUUUGUCUAUUAUUGGUUUCUAAAGUCAAUUUGUAUUUUAAGAGUGUGAUAUGCUCCCAAGAAUUUGUGAGUUUGUGAAUUUGUGAAUUUGACUAUUAUUGGUUGAAUUGUGGGUUACUUUGCAAAGCCAGCCAUUUUAAAGUGAACAAUUUGCAAUCUUAAUGGCUAUUCUGGCAUUUUGCAGAACAGGGGGUGUAGAAAUAGGUAUGUAACAUUUAGUUUCCUUUAUCUAAUUCUUUAUUGUUAGCUCACCAAAAACGUAAAUAUACUUUCAAACCAUUAAUAUUGAAACAUCUCAUGCUUUUAUUUGGUUGCUUUG